AGGGGAAUAUUGGACAAUGGGCGCAAGCCUGAUCCAGCCAUGCCGCGUGAGUGAUGAAGGCCCUAGGGUUGUAAAGCUCUUUCACCGGUGAAGAUAAUGACGGUAACCGGAGAAGAAGCCCCGGCUAACUUCGUGCCAGCAGCCGCGGUAAUACGAAGGGGGCUAGCGUUGUUCGGAUUUACUGGGCGUAAAGCGCACGUAGGCGGACUUUUAAGUCAGGGGUGAAAUCCCGGGGCUCAACCCCGGAACUGCCUUUGAUACUGGAAGUCUUGAGUAUGGUAGAGGUGAGUGGAAUUCCGAGUGUAGAGGUGAAAUUCGUAGAUAUUCGGAGGAACACCAGUGGCGAAGGCGGCUCACUGGCCCAUUACUGACGCUGAGGUGCGAAAGCGUGGGGAGCAAACAGG
rnacentral:rRNA from 1 species